rnacentral:pre_miRNA from 1 species
GGUGCUUCAUGUUCAAUUGCGCUAAGUAUACAGACGAACCGAUACUAACGAACAGGGACGAGGCGCCUCGUCCCUGUCCGUUGCUGUCCGUUCGUCUGUAUACUUAGCGCAAUUGAACAUGAAGUUUU